GCCUGGUCCAAGGGAAGUGUUGUUUACAACUAAUUGAUCACAACCAGUUACAGAUUUCUGUUUCUUCUGCAUUCCCACUGCUUCACUUGACUAGUCUUAA
ensembl:misc_RNA Y_RNA Y RNA